rnacentral:lncRNA from 1 species
GAAAUAGCUUUUUGCUGCCAUGACCUCUUUUGCUGCUGUUUGAUAUCCUUGAUAUGAAAAAUGUGAAUGGAGACGAGCACCCCAUUAACCAGCAGCUCUUAGGCAGCAUUGCUUGUUGGAGGUAUCUUUUCACAGAGAUGCCAUUUGGAGUAGCUACUUUGAGGACAAGAGACAAAAAGCCUGAGGAGAAAGUCACCAUGAAGGAAACAGAAAGAUUAAACAGCAUGCGUGAUCUUUGAUUCAGAGUCCCCAUCUCACCCUGGACUGCCUUCCUUUGGAAUUCCCUUGUGGAAAAAAAAAUUAAACUCUUAUUUGGUUAAAUAAUUAUAGAGUCUCACUCUGUUGCCCAGGCUGGAGUGCAAUGGCGAGAUCUCAGCUCACCGCAACCUCUGCCUCCCGGAUUCAAGCUAUUCUCCUGCCUCAGCCUCCUGAGUAGCUGGGACUACAGGUGUGUGCCACCACGCCCGACUAGCUUUGGUAGAGACGGGGUUUCACCAUGUUGGCCAGGCUGAUCUCGAACUCCUGACUUCAGGUGAUCUGCCCACCUUGACCUCCCAAAGUGCUGGGAUUACAGGUGUGAACCACCAUGCCCG